UACGGAGGGGGCUAGCGUUGUUCGGAAUUACUGGGCGUAAAGCGCACGUAGGCGGCUUUGUAAGUUAGAGGUGAAGGCCCAGGGCUUAACCCUGGAAUUGCCUUUAAGACUGCAUCGCUAGAAUCGUGGAGAGGUAAGUGGAAUUCCGAGUGUAGUGGUGAAAUGCGUAGAGAUCAGGAGGAACACCGGUGGCGAAGGCGGCCCACUGGGCAGUCACUGACGCUGAGGCGCGAAAGCCAGGGGAGCAAACGGG
rnacentral:rRNA from 1 species